UUAAGGUCUCUAAAGGGUCGUCGAAGACUACGACGUUGAUAGGCAGGGUGUGGAAGCGCUGUGAGGCGUUAAGCUAACCUGUACUAAUUGCCCGUGCGGCUUAACCAU
rnacentral:rRNA from 1 species